rnacentral:sRNA from 1 species
GGACUCUUGUUCCUUAGAUCUUCUUCUCUGUACUCAAAUUCAACACCUUUCUCCCUCAAUGCGAUCCUUGUCCUCAUCCCGAACAUACUCGGCCAGAAAUCAAGAAGAAUCACCUCGUUCGCCAUUGUUACGAUCGCUAAAGCUCACAAAGAGAUUUUUUUUUGUAAGUGUUCGUCUUUCUCGAUUUGUUUGGUUGGG